rnacentral:rRNA from 1 species
ACGGGAGGCAGCAGUGGGGGAUAUUGCACAAUGGGGGAAACCCUGAUGCAGCGACGCCGCGUGAGUGAAGAAGUAUUUCGGUAUGUAAAGCUCUUUAAGCUGGAAAGAUAAUGACGGUACCAGCAGAAUAAGCCCCGGCUAACUACGUGCCAGCAGCCGCGGUAAUACGUAGGGGGCAAGCGUUAUCCGGAUUUACUGGGUGUAAAGGGAGCGUAGACGGUAAAGCAAGUCUGAAGUGAAAUCAUAGGGCUUAACCCUGUAAUUGCUUUGGAAACUGUUUAACUGGAGUACCGGAUGGGCAGGCGGAAUUCCUGGUGUAGCGGUGAAAUGCGUAGAUAUCAGGAGGAAUACCAGUGGCGAAGGCGUCUUUCUGGACUGUUACUGACACUGAGGCACGAAAGCGUGGGGAGCAAACAGGAUUAGAUACCCUAGUA